rnacentral:rRNA from 1 species
GACGAACCGUGCGAACGUUAUUCGGAAUCAUUGGGCUUAAAGCGCGUGUAGGCGGAUGGGAACGUCGGCUUUGAAAGCCCCCGGCUCAACCGGGGAAUUGGCGCCGAAACGACCCGUCUGGAGGGGCAUAGGGGGAGCUGGAACUUCCGGUGGAGCGGUGAAAUGCGUUGAGAUCGGAAGGAACGCCCGUGGCGAAAGCGAGCUCCUGGAUGUCUUCUGACGCUGAGACGCGAAAGCUAGGGUAGCGAACGGG